UGGCUGAGUGGUGUGAACAGCUCUUAACUCCUCUGUGGAACCAGUCCAGUCCAGUUUGGCUGAGUGGUGUGAACAGCUCUUAACUCCUCUGUGGAACCAGGCCAGUCCAGUUUGGCUGAGUGGUGUGAACAGCUCUUAACUCCUCUGUGAAACCAGGCCAGUCCAGUUUGGCUGAGUGGUAUGAACAGCUCUUAACUCCUCCGUCCUGUCAGUAUGAGAUCAGCCAUGUUUUGAGUAUGAAUGUUAUUAUGUGUAAAGUGUGAAGUGCAACACUGCAGCGCGUACGUCAUCAGUCACUGAGCCUUGACCAAAACACUCUUUGGGUGUGUCCCAAAUGGAUCCCUAUUCCCCACAGGGCUUUGGUCUAAAGUAGUGCACUAUGUAGGGAAUAGGGUGCCAGCCCUGGUCUAAAGUAGUGCACUAUGUAGGGAAUAGGGUGCCAUUUGGGAUGUAGAAUCACCUGUGUAGAACCUAUGCAACACUUGACUUAGAAAGUCGUCUUAAGACAUGGGACAGCCAGGGGACAGGGUUUACCAUGUAUAUUAUGUAUUAGACGAAUAAAUAUCUCUUCACGUUC